UCUCCCCUGUGUGACCUAUGUACACUCUGGGCAACGAAACAGCAGGGUGCGGUGGCUCACUCCUGUAAUUCCAACACUCUGGGAGGCCAAGGCGGGCAGAUCACCUGAGUUCGGGAGUUCAAGACCACCCUCACAAACAUGGAGAAACCUGGUUGCUAGUAAAAAUACAAAAUUAGCCGGGCAUGGUGGCGCAUGUGUAUAAUGCCGGCUACUCGGGAGGCUGAGUCAGGAGAAUUGCUUGAACCCAGGAGACCUCGGAGGUUGUGGUGAGCCAAGAUUGUGCCAUUGCACUCCAGCCUGGGCAGCAAGAGUGGAACUCCAUCUCAAACAACAACAACAACAACAAAACAUAUCGAAGGGCUAACUGCACUGUCUAUAGUGACUCCCUCCUCUGAAGUCGUGAACCCUUCAAAGUCAUCUAUCAGAGUUGAAUCAGCUUUCACAAAAUUGUUGCUCUUAGAUAUGUCUUGGCAACUUAUCAGUGCUGAAAAGAAGCAUUUAAAAGCCAAAGAGAAGCUCGAGGGCAACAAUAAGGAUUUAAGGAAUCUGAAAUGGCAACCAUAAAGAAAUUCUUCUAACAGUUUUUGAAGCUUGUUAUUUCUUUAGCAAAAUGUCCUUCUUGUAGCCUUUGUGAGACCUAAAGAAGUAUUAAAAUCAAAGAGGCUUUUUUGAUGUUUGAUAGGGACUUAUCACAUAAAAUGUGUUUUAGAAUGGCAAUGACGGACUUUUCCAGUUACUCAGAGAAAAUAAGAUGUUCCAAUGUCAAGUGGAAAGUUGGAAAGUGAAUUUCGGGUGGGCAGAAAACUUC
rnacentral:lncRNA from 1 species